UACAGAGGGUGCAAGCGUUGUUCGGAAUUAUUGGGCGUAAAGCGCGUGUAGGCGGCCGUGCAAGUCGGGUGUGAAAGCCCUCAGCUCAACUGAGGAAGUGCGCCCGAAACUGCAUGGCUUGAGUACCGGAGAGGAUGGCGGAAUUCCCGAAGUAGAGGUGAAAUUCGUAGAUAUCGGGAGGAACACCGGUGGCGAAGGCGGCCAUCUGGACGGAUACUGACGCUGAGACGCGAAAAGCGUGGGUAGCAAACAGG
rnacentral:rRNA from 1 species